AAGUCGUAACAAGGUAACCGUAGGUGAACCUGCGGUUGGAUCAUUAACAAAUAUAAAAAGGUCUUUAAGAUCUUUCCAACACUUGUGAAUUGUAAUUGUCUCUGGCGGGUUUUACCCGCAGACUUAAACUAUAUAUAUUAAAUUUAUUGUCUAAAAGCCUAAAUCUAAAUUAAAAACAACUUUUAACAACGGAUCUCUAGGCUCUC
rnacentral:misc_RNA from 1 species